CCAAAAAGGACAGAGGCUUUUUCCCCAUGGUUCCCUGCUGUUUCUUUCUGGUCAUGCUGGCCUGUAUGGCAUUGGCUCUGGAACAGACCCCAGACAGAGUGGUACGACAAGGCCAAGAUGUCAAUCUGAUCUGUUCCAAGAAGAAAUCCUCCAGCACAGUUAUGUACUGGUACAGGCUGCCCCUGGGGAAGGACUCCAGGCUGAUCCUAGUGGCUUAUGCAUUCGAAGGUGCCGAUGCAAAUAUUGAGAAGGAUUUCCAAAGCCAUUUCAAGGCCACGAAGAUACAAGGAGAUGCGAUGACCCUCACAAUACAGUAUGCCUUUCUCAACGACUCUGGCAUGUAUUACUGUGCUGAGAGUGCUGGGCUGCAAAACAGUGUGAAUAAUGAAAGACUGUAUUUCGGCAGUGGGACAAAACUCACAGUCUUAGGGAAAGAUGAUGAUAUCGUACCUCCAGUUGUGGCCAUCUUUUCCCCAUCAAAGCAAGAGAUCCAAGAGAAGAGCAAGGCCACCCUGGUAUGCCUGGCCUCUGGUUUCUAUCCUGAUCAUCUGAAUCUGGUCUGGAAGGUGAAUGAUGCUAGGAGGACAGAAGGGGUGGGGACAGAUGAAUUUUCCACGCAGAAUGGGAGUACCUUCUCAUUGACCAGCCGACUGAGGAUCUCAGCCCAGGAAUGGUUCAACCCUUUGAACCGUUUUGAGUGUGCUGCCAAUUUUUUUAAGAAUGAAACCCUGCAAUCAAUACAUAAAUUCAUCUACGGUGAUGCUGGAUGUGCACUCUCAAAAGAGUCCUACUUGUGGUAUGGAAAUUCUCUGAAGCUCACUUACCUCAUUCUCUGUGGCAAAGCCUUGCUCUAUGCGGUUUUGGUGAGCAGUCUGGCAUGGAAAGCCAAGGCUAAUGGGAAGUUGUGUAGAGAAUAAAUGAAGAGUCUUCUUCAUUACUUCAGCAGGAAUGCAGCAAAUUAUGUCUACCUUUCCAUAGCAAAGGAUCUAUGUUUCUGUCUAAGAACUUCUGAAUAUUACUUCUUGGUGGUUCUCUGUUCUCUCCUGUUCUUUCCACUUUGUUGCCAUCACUGCUGUGUUUUUCCUGUACUUCCAUAUCACAUUUUACUGUAUUUUAUCAUAUAAUACAGUAUCUUAUCUUUAAAAUUAACACCUUCUUAAUGGUCAGAGGCUAAGGAUCCAGCUGCUUGAAAUAGCAAUAA